rnacentral:lncRNA from 1 species
AUGAAAUAAGGACAUUACCAGAUAAAAGAGAACUGAGAAUUUGUUGUCAGCAUCCCCAUACUAUAAGAAAUGCCAGCGUAGUUUCUUCAGGUUGAAGGGAAAGAAUACCAGAGGAAAACUUGAAUCUUCAGGAAGGAAUGGCAUCAUUGGAAAUGGUAGCCUAAUUAUAACUAUUGUGGUUUCAUAAUUAUCAGAUAAUUAUGACAUAGCUUUUGCUACCUAGUAUGUGGUCAUUGAUUUGGUGAAUGCGUUCUUUUCAAUCCCAUCAGAAGGGAGGAUCAAAAGCUUUUGCAUCUGCCUGGGAUAGACAGUGGUACACAAUCGGGGUCUUGUCCCAGGAAAUUGUACUCUAAUGCUUUUUCCAGCAAUAUACUUUAAUGGCUGUUCUAUCAUCUGGAUAUGACACAGACUAUUAUGCUGAUCCAUUAUAUUGAUGAUAUCAUGAAGAUAUGAGGUAAAAAGGAGAAAACAGUGAAGAAUGGUGGAAGCCUUAAGGUAUAUGUGCACCAGUGGGCAGAAGAAAUCCCUACAGAAUUUCAGCAGCCGGCCAAAAUGGUGAGUUUUUAGGGGAACAGUGGUUAUUGCAUCUUACAUGUACUUCCUAUUGUAAAUCAAAGGAACUAGGAAGCCCUUCUGAUUUGGAAAUAUCAUAUAUCAUGCUUGGGAAUAUUGCUGUCACCCACUAACUGGGUUGACUCUGAAGGCUGCCAGUUUUGCGGAGCCAAGAACAAGAAA